AACUUUGUGCUUGAGAGGGAGCCGUGACGAGGGAAACCGGGGUGGUGCACAGGGGUCCGUUGCUCAGGGUUCGGUGCUCGUGGGGGGGUGCUCUCGUGAAGGGUCUCCCGGUGAAGGUGUCCGUGAGUUCCCGUGGGUGACAAACGCUGGAGUGCUUGGAGGGGUGCCGAGUGCUGGAGCCGAGGAGGAGAACUGGAGACAGGCAGAGAAACACAUACCAUAAACUUGAAGCUAGAGAACAUCAGAAUUGCUCAGCUCGGUGUAGCAG